AUACUCUGGUUUCUCUUCAGAUCGUAUAAAUCUUUCGCCUUUUACUAAAGAUUUCCGUGGAGAGGAACAUUUAUGAGUUUGUACCCAAUUUUUUGAGGCUUCACUUCGGUGAAGCU
ensembl:snRNA U5 U5 spliceosomal RNA